CUCAGGAAGGAAUUUCUUGAAACUGCUCCCAAGAGAGCCAUUGGACCAUGUGAAUAUUAACACCAUCCAGAAUGCUAUGGAGAGAAGACACAACUGGAAGCUCCGUGUGGACAAACCUCCUGGACUCUGCCCCACAUAUCUCUUCCCUUGGCUGAUUUGAAUUUGUAUCCUUUCACUGUGAUAAACCACAACCAGAUUAUUACAGCUGUCAGCAAGUUCUUCUAUUGAAUUGUUGAAACUGAGGGUGGUCUUGGGAACCCCUGAACUCUACUGUUGGUGUCAGGAGUGAGGGAAGUCCUGUGGACUAUACUCCCUGACCUCACAGG
rnacentral:lncRNA from 1 species